rnacentral:rRNA from 1 species
AGAGUUUGAUCCUGGCUCAGGAUGAACGCUGGCGGCGUGCCUAAUACAUGCAAGUCGAGCGAACGGAUGAGAAGCUUGCUUCUCUGAUGUUAGCGGCGGACGGGUGAGUAACACGUGGAUAACCUACCUAUAAGACUGGGAUAACUUCGGGAAACCGGAGCUAAUACCGGAUAAUAUUUUGAACCGCAUGGUUCAAAAGUGAAAGACGGUCUUGCUGUCACUUAUAGAUGGAUCCGCGCUGCAUUAGCUAGUUGGUAAGGUAACGGCUUACCAAGGCAACGAUGCAUAGCCGACCUGAGAGGGUGAUCGGCCACACUGGAACUGAGACACGGUCCAGACUCCUACGGGAGGCAGCAGUAGGGAAUCUUCCGCAAUGGGCGAAAGCCUGACGGAGCAACGCCGCGUGAGUGAUGAAGGUCUUCGGAUCGUAAAACUCUGUUAUUAGGGAAGAACAUAUGUGUAAGUAACUGUGCACAUCUUGACGGUACCUAAUCAGAAAGCCACGGCUAACUACGUGCCAGCAGCCGCGGUAAUACGUAGGUGGCAAGCGUUAUCCGGAAUUAUUGGGCGUAAAGCGCGCGUAGGCGGUUUUUUAAGUCUGAUGUGAAAGCCCACGGCUCAACCGUGGAGGGUCAUUGGAAACUGGAAAACUUGAGUGCAGAAGAGGAAAGUGGAAUUCCAUGUGUAGCGGUGAAAUGCGCAGAGAUAUGGAGGAACACCAGUGGCGAAGGCGACUUUCUGGUCUGUAACUGACGCUGAUGUGCGAAAGCGUGGGGAUCAAACAGGAUUAGAUACCCUGGUAGUCCACGCCGUAAACGAUGAGUGCUAAGUGUUAGGGGGUUUCCGCCCCUUAGUGCUGCAGCUAACGCAUUAAGCACUCCGCCUGGGGAGUACGACCGCAAGGUUGAAACUCAAAGGAAUUGACGGGGACCCGCACAAGCGGUGGAGCAUGUGGUUUAAUUCGAAGCAACGCGAAGAACCUUACCAAAUCUUGACAUCCUUUGACAACUCUAGAGAUAGAGCNNNNNNNNNNNNNNNNNNNNNNNNNNNNNNNNNNNNNNNNNNNNNUUCCCCUUCGGGGGACAAAGUGACAGGUGGUGCAUGGUUGUCGUCAGCUCGUGUCGUGAGAUGUUGGGUUAAGUCCCGCAACGAGCGCAACCCUUAAGCUUAGUUGCCAUCAUUAAGUUGGGCACUCUAAGUUGACUGCCGGUGACAAACCGGAGGAAGGUGGGGAUGACGUCAAAUCAUCAUGCCCCUUAUGAUUUGGGCUACACACGUGCUACAAUGGACAAUACAAAGGGCAGCGAAACCGUGAGGUCAAGCAAAUCCCAUAAAGUUGUUCUCAGUUCGGAUUGUAGUCUGCAACUCGACUACAUGAAGCUGGAAUCGCUAGUAAUCGUAGAUCAGCAUGCUACGGUGAAUACGUUCCCGGGUCUUGUACACACCGCCCGUCACACCACGAGAGUUUGUAACACCCGAAGCCGGUGGAGUAACCUUUUAGGAGCUAGCCGUCGAAGGUGGGACAAAUGAUUGGGGUGAAGUCGUAACAAGGUAGCCGUAUCGGAAGGUGCGGCUGGAUCACCU